GGGUGCAUAGCUCAGUUGGUAGAGCAGCUGACUCUUAAUCAGCUUGUCCUAGGUUCGAUCCCUAGUGCACCCACCA
rnacentral:tRNA from 12 species